UGGCUCAGGACGAACGCUGGCGGCGUGCCUAACACAUGCAAGUCGAGCGAGGAGAGUCCUUCGGGAUGAUCCUAGCGGCGGACGGGUGAGUAACACGUGGGCAACCUGCCUCAUAGAGAGGAAUAGCCUUCCGAAAGGGAGAUUAAUACCUCAUAACAUUGCAGUUUCGCAUGGAACAGCAAUUAAAGGAGCAAUCCGCUAUGAGAUGGGGCCCCGCGGCGCAUUAGCUAGUUGGUGAGGUAACGGCUCACCAAGGCGACGAUGCGUAGCCGACCUGAGAGGGUGAUCGGCCACAUUGGGACUGAGACACGGCCCAGACUCCUACGGGAGGCAGCAGUGGGGAAUAUUGCACAAUGGGGGAAACCCUGAUGCAAGCAACGCCGCGUGAGUGAUGACGGCCUUCGGGUUGUAAAGCUCUGUCUUCAGGGACGAUAAUGACGGUACCUGAGGAGGAAGCCACGGCUAACUACGUGCCAGCCGCUGC
rnacentral:rRNA from 1 species